UACAGAGGUGGCAAGCGUUGUUCGGAAUUACUGGGCGUAAAGGGCGCGUAGGCGGCCUCGUAAGUCCCGUGUGAAAGCCCCCGGCUCAACUGGGGAAUUGCACGGGAAACUGCGGGGCUUGAGUUCGGGAGAGGGAAGCGGAAUUCCGGGUGUAGCGGUGAAAUGCGUAGAUAUCCGGAGGAACACCAGUGGCGAAGGCGGCUUCCUGGACCGACACUGACGCUGAGGCGCGAAAGCUAAGGGAGCAAACGGG
rnacentral:rRNA from 1 species